rnacentral:piRNA from 1 species
UUCACCUAGCCGUGGAAUGGUGUCUCUGUGU